UCAACACUACUUAUGGAGCAAAGG
rnacentral:piRNA from 1 species